GUGAGACAAAGACAUAAGACAGAUGGACAACGUCCAGUUCUACGUACGUACUUUCGUAGGGUAAAAAUAAAAUUGUCAGUCGCGUAUUUUAAAAAUACACUAUACAGUGAAGUGAAAUUGAAUUGAGUUGAUAGAAAUAGAAAAUUCAAAAGAAAAAGGCUACAUUUCACCGAAACUGCAGCUGAGUCAUUUGAAAUGUGUCUGCAACGCCCUGAAGAUCGGAAGGAAAUUCCACUUCCAUCGCAUCAAAACCAAGAGAGCUUGGACGAAUUUGAUAGGAGGAUAGGAGAGAAACUUCGUCUAGCCUUGGGCAGGGACCGUGCCGACAAAUUGGCCGAAUACAUUUUACAAAUGACCGAAGAUGAGCGGUUGGAAUUUCUCGCAAAAGUUUCAAAGAUAGCGGGAUACGAGUUAUUUAACUGGGAUGCUUGAAUGUAUCGAAUUCCUACACAUCCGUAUCAUUUUAACCUGAAAUUCCGUUAAAUGUUUUCAUUAAUCGAUUUAUAAUUCAUAUCAUAUUUCAUAUUUUUGAUUAAUCGUUUUUGCUAAUCACUUUGUAGUUGGUUAUUUGCUUAAAUUAUAAUUCGGGUAUUUCUGA